CGGAUGCUUUCAAAAAAGGUGUGCUACUAUUUCUUUAUAUUUGUCACUAAACUUACACGGGGCCCGAUAUGGGGGCCGAUGGCCGGCCUCGCCACCGUCGACGCGCGGCCCCACGGAGGCUCCCCUCACACUCCUUACACAGUCACGGGAAUUGCCAUUGGAGGAUUGCCUCUGGGAGUGGGGCUCCUGUUCUAGGUGCACAGCAGGUGUAUGAGUAAGCCUCGAGGAUUCAGAAGACACGGUUAUCACUUUAAUAGAACCUGUGGAACCCGGUGAAAUUGGGUUUGAGUUGGCAAUGCAAGCAGGGUUUAAGCGAUUUAUUUUUGUCGAGUUGGGAACUUGGGAUUCUAAGCACAUGUUCAGUCUUCUCGG